UCGAGCUCGGCUCAGGGAUAGGCUCCGCCCUCAGUGCGCGGCCAUUGCUGAAUCAUGUCGGAGAAGAAGGCGCCUGUAGACUUGGGCCUGCUGGAGGAGGACGAUGAGUUUGAGGAGUUUCCAGCCGAAGGCUGGACUGGUUUAGAUGAAGACGAAGAUGCCCAUGUCUGGGAAGAUAACUGGGAUGACGAUAAUGUAGAGGACGAUUUUUCUAACCAGUUAAGAGCUGAAUUAGAAAAGUUUGGAUACAAGAUGGAAACCUCCUAGCUGGCAAGAUGCUGCAUGAUGUGAAUGCCUGGAAGGUGUAGAAUGAAGAAUUUUGUGUAAAUGUGUUAAAUGCUAUUGUGACACACCAACACUGGAAGCAAGGUGCAGUGGAGAACGAAAUGUAACUCAGCAUUCUGUUGCAAAGGAGGACACAAUUCUUUUUGUGAAUUUUCCUUUUUUAUUUUCAUAAAUUGUUUUGAAAUGUAAUUUGGUCUGCAUUAAAUAGUUUCCUUUACUGUUAUUCUAUAAUGGUCACAUUCACUGCAGAACAUUAUGCUGAGUGUAGCUAUGGACAAAAGCUCUACACUCCAAGAACAUUACAGAUUUCCACCUAUAAUUUUUGAGUAGGUGCAAAAGAUCAAGAGUUCACAUAACCAAAACCUUGGUUUUGAGAUCAGCUUGGUAGGAUUUAUGCUUUUUUAUGUAUAUCUCUAAAUUGCACCAAAUGAAUAAAAUGGCAUUGCAAAAUAAA